rnacentral:rRNA from 1 species
UACGAAGGGUGCAAACGUUGCUCGGAAUUAUUGGGCGUAAAGCGCACGUAGGCGGCUUUGCAAGUCGGAUGUGAAAUCCCUCGGCUUAACCAAGGAAGUGCAUCCGAAACUGCAGAGCUUGAGUACUUAAGAGGAUCGCGGAAUUCCCGGUGUAGAGGUGAAAUUCGUAGAUAUCAGGAGGAACACCGGUGGCGAAGGCGGCCACCUGGACGGUUACUGACGCUGAGACGCGAAAGCGUGGGGAGCAAACAGG